UGCGGGCCAGCUCGAAGAUGCGCUCGAUCUCGCUCUGAACCUCAGCUACGCGCCGUCCGGCAAACACACGAGAGGAAGCGGGUGAAUUGGACCCGGCGUGACGCCUGAUAGAGCCAACACAAACACAAACUCUGAAGAAAAAAAAAA